GCCCGCUCAGAAACUUAAAGGAAUUGACGGGGGCCCGCACAAGCGGUGGAGCACGUGGUUUAAUUCGAUGCAAACCGAAGAACCUUACCUGGGUUUGACAUGUACGUGGUACGGAUCUGAAAAGGUAAAGGACUUACUCUUCGGAGUGAGAGCGUACACAGGUGCUGCAUGGCUGUCGUCAGCUCGUGUCGUGAGAUGUUGGGUUAAGUCCCGCAACGAGCGCAACCCUGCAUUCAGUUGCCAUCGGUAAGGCCGGGCACUCUGGAUGGACUGCCGGCGACAAGCCGGAGGAAGGUGGGGACGACGUCAAGUCAUCAUGGCCCUUAUGUCCAGGGCGACACACGUGCUACAAUGGCCGGCACAACGGGAAGCGAAGGGGCGACCCUGAGCGGAUCCCACAAAAGCCGGUCUCAGUUCGGAUUGCAGUCUGCAACUCGACUGCAUGAAGUUGGAAUCGCUAGUAAUCGUGGAUCAGCCAAGCCGCGGUGAAUACGUUCCCGGGCCUU
rnacentral:rRNA from 1 species